ensembl:lncRNA
GGUGCUCUCAGUCUUGAAGUCUCAGUGGGUUCCCCCCGGGAGGGGGAGGGAGAGAGGCAGGUGUCCUUAACGACUCUCCUGCCUUCCAGCCGGUGGAGGUGCUGGCUUGGGCUCAGUUACCACAAUACAGAUGGGGAAGAGCCCUUUGGCUUGCUUUGUUUUUGAGUUUCAAGAUCUUCCCAGAAUAAGAAGGCUGAAGACCCCCACCCCCAUCCGUGCCAUCAGCAGCCUGCCUCACCUGCUGUCUGACUGGGCCACCUCGAGUUGGGACAGCUACCCUUCUACUGGCCCAUUCCCAGCUCCCUGACACAGUCGAGGAAACUGAGGCUCUGAAAAAUGCAGUUACAUCGCAGAGGAUUCUCUGGUAGGCACGUGAAGUUGGGCAUUCAUUCCAGGCACAGGUAGAAAACCCAGGGCUGUUGUUAAACUGAGAUGAGCCACAUAGAAUGUGAAAAAGAAAGUUUAGGGAAAGUAGCAAUGCUUACUAGAGAAGACUGCUGAUGCUGCCAAUAACUACGGAGUGUGAAUCUGACGUACCUGAUUCAACCGUAACCAGAGGGGCAAACAGGGAGUCAGCAUGUGUAUUUCUACUGAAAUAUCGAGUAGAAGUUUCUUUUAGUAACAUCAAUGGGAGACUUCCCUGAUGGUCCAGUGGCUAAGACUCUGAGCUCCCAAUGCAGGGGGCCCUAGUCCCAUCCCUGGUCAGGAAACUAGAUCUCACAUCCUGCAAAUGAAGACCCAGUGCAGCCUUAAAAAAAGUAUUGACAGGGAUACCUAGUCCACUGACCAACUUAAAAUC